AACGCUUGUAACGUUCGUUUGGCGCAUUUCUCGAAGGUAAGCACCGCGACCGAUACGAAAGGCCGACGAAGCGAUUCGAUUGAGGGCGAGUCCUCUUACGGGGACUCGUAACCAGUCUUUUCGUUCGAAUCGUCGGAUCGCAGUAUGUAUCGAGCGCCAAAGUAAAAUAUACAUCGGCCGUAAAAGCUCGUCGAGCGAUGGAUAGUCGGUUAAUAGUGUUGGUACUUGCUCGCAGGUGCCGAUCUAUUCGAUUCGACUUAGAAGUCGUCGACGACGUUACGAUGUAUAGGCGUCUGCGGUGUCAGUGUCGGCCACCCAUCCGACCCGUCUUGAAACACGGACCAAGGAGUCUAACAUAUGCGCGAGCUAAUGGGUGGAAAACCCAAAAGCGUAAUAAAAGUAAACGCUGUUUCGGACAGCUAAGGUACGAUCUUAGAGUCCGAGCGACUUUAAGCGCAGUACCGUCCCGUCCCGACCGCAUGUCGGUAGGGCGGAGAUAGAGUGCAUACGUUGGGACCCGAAAGAUGGUGAACUAUGCCUGAGCAGAGCGAAGCCAGAGGAAACUCUGGUGGAGGUUCGUAGCGGUUCUGACGUGCAAAUCGAUCGUCAGACUGGGUAU
rnacentral:rRNA from 1 species